rnacentral:rRNA from 1 species
GACGAACGCUGGCGGCGUGCUUAACACAUGCAAGUCGAACGGAAAGGCCCUGCUUUUGUGGGGUGCUCGAGUGGCGAACGGGUGAGUAACACGUGAGUAACCUGCCCUUGACUUUGGGAUAACUUCAGGAAACUGGGGCUAAUACCGGAUAGGAGCUCCUGCUGCAUGGUGGGGGUUGGAAAGUUUCGGCGGUUGGGGAUGGACUCGCGGCUUAUCAGCUUGUUGGUGGGGUAGUGGCUUACCAAGGCCUUGACGGGUAGCCGGCCUGAGAGGGUGACCGGCCACAUUGGGACUGAGAUACGGCCCAAACUCCUACGGGAGGCAGCAGUGGGGAAUAUUGCACAAUGGGCGGAAGCCUGAUGCAGCAACGCCGCGUGCGGGAUGACGGCCUUCGGGUUGUAAACCGCUUUCGCCUGUGACGAAGCGUGAGUGGCGGUAAUGGGUAAAGAAGCACCGGCUAACUACGUG